UCCCCACCCAUCCAGGUAAAAAAAAACUUCGCAUCUCAUCCACACUGUCCCCGUCGAUGGCGCUCUAGGCUCGCCCGCCGCCACCCUAUCGCCGGCCCCGUCGCUCCCCCGCCCUGUCGCCGGCCGCGUCACUCCCCCGCCCCGUCGCCGUCGCUCCCCUGCCCCGUCGCCGGCCCUCCCCUGCCCCGUCGCCAGCCCUCCCCCGCCACCCUGUCGCCGGCCCCGUCGCUCCCUGCUGCAGGCGACGCCGCCGCCGCAAGUCGGGAGCCCUGUAUCUCGUGUCGGGCCUUGGCGGGAAGAUCGACAAGGAACAAGUCAAAUUGGCGGGAAGCUCGGGAUGUUUUCCGCAAACGCCGGCAACACGCGCAGUAACUGCAGUGCGCGGGGCGGUUACGGGGCUAUCUCCUACCUCCCGUUUGUGGAUCCUCCAGUGUUGAGCUCAACCAAGCGGCGGCCAUACAUCCGGCGACCGGCCAUAGGCGCGACUUGGAGCUCGGGCGACAUGGAGUCUUUUGACGCAGCUGAUUAAUAGAAGUAGAACUCUGCUAGAGGACGUUCGCCGGGAUGGAGCCUCUUCAUUAACCGGUGACGACGCCGCCGGUGUGCGAGUUGCCGACCAGGACAGCAUCAAGUGCAGACGGGCAGGUCUGCACAGAGGGCGUUGGUCGAGAAGCAGGAAGUGCAGACAAGGGCCAAGCUUCAGAGCAGUCGAUUGAGCAGGUGGAUCCGAAAACACCUGGGUGGACGCAAAGAUGAACUGCACACCUCAACGCAGCACUAAUGCAAAGAUUCUACAUCUUGGUCGGCUGCUCGCGGCGGGGCUUGUGUCUGGUGCUUGCGACAGUGGCAGAGCAGUGCCCGCGAGCGCGGCGCAAGCAGUGGCCCCUGCUAUGUGGGCUGAUGCAAGCGCGGCGCAAGCACUUCAAGUCUGACAAUGUCCACUCUACAAGGUACAUAGGCACUCGUGCAAAGAUCUAACAUCUUCAUCGACUAGUACUAAGGUAUGUGUUUUCUUCUGCCCGUGUGAUGUGGUGAUUAUUUGUUCUGCAUAUGUUUGUAUAUGUUAGUCAGUAUUUGGGAGAUAUGAGAUGGUUUGCCGGAUAAGAAAUAGAACAAGAACAAGCAGGAGCUUUAGUUGGGCCAUGUCAUUGUGAACUUGGAGCACAAAAAUGUAUAGGAAGUGGUCGUCGUAAAACUGGGUGCUUAAGAUCUACUGAACUAUAACAUUUUUUAGUCUUAAGUAAAGCAAUUACUUUCUGGGUCAUAUUUAAUUUGUCUAUGUUAAUAAUUUCUUGCGUGAAUAGAUGGGCCAAGCCGAGCAGGCCAUCAACCAACUACUCGUGCUUUGCUUUAUUUUAUUUUAUUUUAUUAUUUGUGUUCUUAAUCUUGGUUUUCACUGGUGUGUGCUCCGUCCUCUCAGGUUAGAUUUGAAUUUGUUGUCAUAGAAAAAAUAUUUCUAUCGCCUUUAAUAAUAUAGGUAAUCCAGUUAUGUAUGCAAAAUCCUCAGUGAGGAUUAUUUUUUUCUGAAUCACUUAUCUCUGAGCAGCAUCUGCAUCCUUCUGCCUUAGCCUGAUCAAUUUUUCCCACUAUACAACUUUGUUUUUUGUUUGCCAACAUAUUCGAACGAAGGUGUCUCCAUGUCAAGCAUGCAUCCAUUGAAAUUUGGUGUUAACCAAUUUUUGGAGGAUUGCAUCAAUGUUGCUCCAUAGGAUGUUUAUCUUUUCGGUCUUUUUGCUAAUGACAAUGUUUGGUGUGCCAGUGCCCAGUUGUGUAUAUUCUUGGACCUUUUACAUUUGAUAUCAACAAUUCAAAAGUUAACAUGGAUCUAGCCAUCUAGGUGAACUUCCAUUUAAUGUUAUCAAUUUUCUUGCAGCGAACUUGAAUGUUUUUGUUACUUUUGCUUGUACUUGAUAUCUUCCAGAGGCUAAUGUGUUGUGGAGUUUAGCUCUCAAUAUGGUGCCCAUAUUUUUACGGUUAAGGCAAGAGCUCUGCCAAUUCAUUGAAGUUGAGGGAAACUGUAUCAUUGUUGUCAGUGCACAUUCAGAGACGUAUGAGUGGUUCCCAGCUUUGUUGAUGUCUUCCUUCAAGCUUAAUAAAAUUGUGUUGCGCACUUUUGGUUUGUGAGUUUUUUUGGCAUUAUGGUGUUGCUGAGUUUAAUUGGGUGGCUAUUUUUAGUAGCUUCUAAUUUCAAAAUCCAUGUAGCCCAACCGUGCAGGAGCCACACAAAGCUGCAUGGUGCUUUUGCUUUCUGAGUUAGUCGAACUAGUAAAUGCAGUACUGGUGAAGAUUGGUAGGUCCAACCGGUAGCUAACACUUAUUGGCUCAUAAGCUCCGUUAGCUCAGAAUCUAACCGAAGACGGCUCAUUCCAUCCAUGGGCUUCUGAUCCAUUUAAACGGUAACUGGCGGAGUUACCUGGAUGCUAUGUGAUGUGUGGGCCACAAUCUAUUAAAAAAUACUGUAAUAGCACAGUACGACUUUACCAGGACCUACAUGUUGCACGGAUCACGAUAUAACCUAGUGGUGCAGAUUCCGGGCUCACUGCAGCUCGAGCUCACAUAAGCACUUUCGUGUAGAUACUUCCAAUUUUGAAUCUCUGACUUACUAAAGAAAUAUAAUUUAUUACCAACAUAAUACUCCCUCUGUUUUUAUAUACUCCGCAUAUUAGCUUUGGUCAAAGUCAAACUAUGUAAACUAUGAUAAAGUUUCUAGACAAAUAUGUUAACAUAUACAAUAAAAAAAUCAAUACAAUUAGAUUCAUUAUUGAAUAUACUUUCACAUCAUAUAGAUUUGUUAUUGUAAAUGUUUAUAUUUUUUUCUAUAAACUUGGUCAAACUCUAAAAUGACAUAAUAUGCU